CUCGAGUCCUUCGGGACUCAGGUUAGUGGCGCACGGGUGCGUAACGCGUAUGCAACCUACCUUCCACUGGGGGAUAGCCCUCCGAAAGGGGGAUUAAUACCGCAUGACACAAGAGAGUGGCAUCACUUUCUUGUCAAAGCUGAGGCGGUGGAAGAUGGGCAUGCGUGCCAUUAGCUAGUUGGCGGGGUAGAGGCCCACCAAGGCGACGAUGGCUAGGGGUUCUGAGAGGAUGGUCCCCCACACUGGUACUGAGACACGGACCAGACUCCUACGGGAGGCAGCAGUAGGGAAUAUUGGGCAAUGGCCGAGAGGCUGACCCAGCCAUGCCGCGUGCAGGAAGAAGGCCUUCUGGGUUGUAAACUGCUUUUACCAGGGAAGAAAACGCCCCCGCGGGGGUAACUGACGGUACCUGGUGAAUAAGCACCGGCUAACUCCGUGCCAGCAGCCGCGGUAUACGGAGGGUGCGAGCGUUGUCCGGAUUUAUUGGGUUUAAAGGGUGCGUAGGCGGCCCGUUAAGUCAGCGGUGAAAUCCCACGGCUCAACCGUGGAACUGCCGUUGAUACUGGCGGGCUUGAGUUCGGUCGAGGCGGGCGGAACUGGUGGUGUAGCGGUGAAAUGCUUAGAUACCACCAAGAACCCCGAUUGCGUAGGCAGCUCGCUGGGCCGAAACUGACGCUGAGGCACGAAAGCGUGGGGAGCGAACAGGAUUAGAUACCCUGGUAGUCCACGCCGUAACGAUGAUGACUCGAUGUCGGCGACACACGGUCGGCGUCCAA
rnacentral:rRNA from 1 species